UAAGUGAAGAGUUUGAUCCUGGCUCAGAGUGAACGCUGGCGGUAGGCCUAACACAUGCAAGUCGAACGGCAGCACAGGAGAGCUUGCUCUCUGGGUGGCGAGUGGCGGACGGGUGAGGAAUACAUCGG
rnacentral:rRNA from 1 species